GAUGAACGCUGGCGGCGUGCCUAAUACAUGCAAGUCGAGCGAACAGACGAGGAGCUUGCUCCUCUGACGUUAGCGGCGGACGGGUGAGUAACACGUGGAUAACCUACCUAUAAGACUGGGAUAACUUCGGGAAACCGGAGCUAAUACCGGAUAAUAUAUUGAACCGCAUGGUUCAAUAGUGAAAGACGGUUUUGCUGUCACUUAUAGAUGGAUCCGCGCCACAUUAGCUAGUUGGUAAGGUAACGGCUUACCAAGUCGACGAUGCGUAGCCGACCUGAGAGGGUGAUCGGCCACACUGGAACUGAGACACGGUCCAGACUCCUACGGGAGGCAGCAGUAGGGAAUCUUCCGCAAUGGGCGAAAGCCUGACGGAGCAACGCCGCGUGAGUGAUGAAGGUCUUCGGAUCGUAAAACUCUGUUAUUAGGGAAGAACAAAUGUGUAAGUAACUAUGCACGUCUUGACGGUACCUAAUCAGAAAGCCACGGCUAACUACGUG
rnacentral:rRNA from 1 species